UUUUUUGGUGAGGGCAAUGAAUUGCAAUUAGUACUUGGGCACUUUAAUUGCAAGGAGCCAAUAGCGCAACCGAUCACUCUCCAG
rnacentral:ncRNA from 2 species